rnacentral:rRNA from 1 species
GACGAACGCUGGCGGCGUGCCUAAUACAUGCAAGUCGAGCGCAGGAAACUGACGGAACUCUUCGGAGGGAAGGCAGUGGAAUGAGCGGCGGACGGGUGAGUAACACGUAAGGAACCUGCCUCAAGGAUUGGGAUAACUCCGAGAAAUCGGAGCUAAUACCGGAUAGUUCAUCGGACCGCAUGGUCCGCUGAUGAAAGGCGCUCCGGCGUCACCUUGAGAUGGCCUUGCGGUGCAUUAGCUAGUUGGUGGGGUAGCGGCCCACCAAGGCGACGAUGCAUAGCCGACCUGAGAGGGUGAUCGGCCACACUGGGACUGAGACACGGCCCAGACUCCUACGGGAGGCAGCAGUAGGGAAUCUUCCACAAUGGACGAAAGUCUGAUGGAGCAACGCCGCGUGAGUGAUGAAGGUUUUCGGAUCGUAAAACUCUGUUGUAAGGGAAGAACACGUACGAGAGGGAAUGCUCGUACCUUGACGGUACCUUACGAGAAAGCCACGGCUAACUACGUGCCAGCAGCCGCCGCGG